GCCUGGGUGGCCCAGUCGGUUAAGCGUCCGACUUCAACUCAGGUCAUGAUCUCGCGGUUCGGGGGUUCAAGUCCCACAUCAGGCU
rfam:Felis catus isolate Cinnamon breed Abyssinian chromosome C1, whole genome shotgun sequence.